AUUGAACGCUGGCGGCAUGCUUUACACAUGCAAGUCGAACGGUAACAGGGUGCUUGCACCGCUGACGAGUGGCGAACGGGUGAGUAAUGCGUCGGAACGUGCCGAGUAGUGGGGGAUGACGCAGCGAAAGUUGUGCUAAUACCGCAUACGUACUGAGGUAGAAAGUGGGGGACCUCCGGGCCUCACGCUAUUCGAGCGGCCGACGUCUGAUUAGCUAGUAGGUGAGGUAAAGGCUCACCUAGGCGACGAUCAGUAGCGGGUCUGAGAGGAUGAUCCGCCACCGUGGGACUGAGACACGGCCCAGACUCCUACGGGAGGCAGCAGUGGGGAAUUUUGGACAAUGGGCGAAAGCCUGAUCCGGCCAUGCCGCGUGUCUGAAGAAGGCCUUCGGGUUGUAAAGGACUUUUGUCAGGGAGGAAAUCCCUAGUGCUAAUAACACUGGGGGAUGACAGUACCUGAAGAAUAAGCACCGGCUAACUACGUGCCAGCCGCCGCCGUAAUAC
rnacentral:rRNA from 1 species